rnacentral:rRNA from 1 species
GACGAACGCUGGCGGCGUGCCUAAUACAUGCAAGUCGAACGAGAGCGCCCGGUGCUUGCACUGGUCAAUCCAGUGGCGUACGGGUGAGUAACACGUGGGUCACCUGCCCAUCAGAGGGGGAUAACAUCCGGAAACGGAUGCUAAAACCGCAUAGGUCCUCGAACCGCAUGGUUUGAAGAGUAAAAGAGGCGCAUGUUUCUGCUCAUGGCUGGACCCGCGGUGAAUUAGCUAGUCGGUGAGGUAACGGCUCCCCAAGCCCGGAAUGCAUAGCCGACCUGUAGGGGUGAACGGCGACAUAGAGACUGAGACGCGGCCCUAAGGCUUACGGAAGGCAGAGGUAGGGAAGGUAGCGCAAAGGACGGAAGACUGACGGAGCAACGCAGCGUGAGUGAAGAAGAUAUUCGGAUCGUAAAACUCUGUUGUUGGAGAAGAACGAGUGCAGGAGUAACUGUUAGAGACGUGACGGUAACUAAACAGAAAGCCACGGCUAACUACGUG